rnacentral:rRNA from 1 species
GCCAGACUCCUACGGGAGGCAGCAGUGGGGGAUAUUGCACAAUGGGGGAAACCCUGAUGCAGCGACGCCGCGUGAGUGAAGAAGUAUUUCGGUAUGUAAAGCUCUAUCAGCAGGGAAGAAAAUGACGGUACCUGACUAAGAAGCCCCGGCUAACUACGUGCCAGCAGCCGCGGUAAUACGUAGGGGGCAAGCGUUAUCCGGAUUUACUGGGUGUAAAGGGAGCGUAGACGGCAUGGCAAGUCAGAUGUGAAAGCCUGGGGCUCAACCCCGGGACUGCAUUUGAAACUGUCAGGCUGGAGUGCAGGAGAGGUAAGUGGAAUUCCUAGUGUAGCGGUGAAAUGCGUAGAUAUUAGGAGGAACACCAGUGGCGAAGGCGGCUUACUGGACUGUAACUGACGUUGAGGCUCGAAAGCGUGGGGAGCAAACAGGAUUAGAUACCCCAGUAUCU